GACGAACGCUGGCGGCGUGCCUAAUACAUGCAAGUAGAACGCACAGUUUAUACCGUAGCUUGCUACACCAUAGACUGUGAGUUGCGAACGGGUGAGUAACGCGUAGGUAACCUGCCUGGUAGCGGGGGAUAACUAUUGGAAACGAUAGCUAAUACCGCAUAAUAUUAAUUAUUGCAUGAUAAUUAAUUGAAAGGUGCAAUUGCACCACUACCAGAUGGACCUGCGUUGUAUUAGCUAGUAGGUGAGGUAACGGCUCACCUAGGCGAGGAUACAUAGCCGACCUGAGAGGGUGAGCGGCCACACUGGGAGGGAGACACGGCCCAGACUCCUACGGGAGGCAGCAGUAGGGAAUCGGCGGCAAUGGACGAAAGUCUGACCGAGCAACGCCGCGUGAGUGAAGAAGGUUUUCGGAUCGUAAAGCUCUGUUGUAAGAGAAGAACGGGUGUGAGAGUGGAAAGUUCACACUGUGACGGUAUCGUACCAGAAAGGGACGGCUAACUACGUG
rnacentral:rRNA from 1 species